rnacentral:rRNA from 1 species
AUUCUGGUUGAUCCUGCCAGAGGCCACUGCUAUCGGAGUUCGAUUAAGCCAUGCGAGUCGAGAGGUGCAAGACCUCGGCAUACUGCUCAGUAACACG